UAUUCCCUAUGUUGUACUUUUCAUCUCUGUUCCUUAUUUAUUUUGUAACUGGAAGUUUGUACCUCUUAAUCACCUUUACUUAUUUUGCCCAUUCCCCUAACCCCCUUCCUUCUGACAAUUAUCAAUUUGUUCUCUAAAUAAGUCUGUUUCUGUUUAUUAUUUCAGAUUCCACAUACAGAUGAAAUCAUGUGGUAUUUGUCUUUUUCCAUCUGAUUUAUUUCACUUAGCUAAUACCCUCUAUGUCGAUUCAUGUUGUCACAAAUAGCAAGAUUUCAUUCUGUUUUAUGUUCUCACUGGCUCAUCUACACUUCUGUCAAGUCCAGUAGGUCAGCUAUGUAUCCUAGUCUUAAAAGUAGUAGCCUUGUGUAGAAGAGGUCCUGUGGUCCUGUAGUACAAUCCCCUCUGGUCACCCAAACAAAGUGCCGGUGAGUGAUCUUGAUAAUAGGGAAGCAUAUGGGUAUAUGGGGGCUGCGAAUAUAUGGGAAAUCGCUGUAUCUUCAUCUUCAUUUUGUU